rnacentral:lncRNA from 11 species
AUAUAGCAUGGUAUUCCCGAUUAUCUUUUGGGCUAAAUAGGAUUUUUUCUGUGCCUUGAUUGCCCAUUGGAUUUAUUAUUAUUAUUUGAUACACAGCAAGAUUAGUACACAGCAAACAAGAUCGCUAUGUUGGCUAUUGUAUUGAAUCACAUGUCGGACACUUCCCAAGUGUCUAGGACUGUGUGAUGUAUCAGUGAAUAAUGUAUACAGUUCUGAGUAGGGUGGCCUUUUGUAGCAGACAGAUAGUAAUUUUGUCAGUGCCAAUUGUGUUUAAAUGCAGGCCAAGAUCUUUAGGCACUGCACCCAGUGUGCCGAUCACCACUGGGACAAUCUUUACUGGCUUAUGCCAGAGUCUGGUGGAGCCCGUGGGGAACCCAUCACAUCUCACUCCGCAUUGCCCACCUUGCUCCUCAGUCCUCACCACAUCCCAUGGGGGGAAACGUUUGCCACCUGGCUUCCCUUUGUUCUUGCCUAUGCAACACAGGAAGCUUGCCAUGCUGCUGCCAUGGCAACUUAACAUGCUUUCACUUCUCUUGCACCACAGAGCACAGCUGGAUGUAGAUCGAUGUGGGAUGAGAGCUAGCAGACUCCAUGCUACAAGUGAAGUGUCAUACAACAGGCAGUUUUGCCCAUCUGAUGAGGCCCUGACACACAACUCCAAAAGUGAAUAAUUCCAAUCUACAGAAUACAGAGAAACACCUGCUUGAAUGAAUUUUAGUGAUGGAUGUAGAAAGGAAAACAAGAGAGCAGCAUUCAAGAAAAAAGGAACAUCAAAUUCACCAAAUGUGGAUUAACUAGCCUUUAACACUCUGGUGUAUGCAUGAACAGGACAAUCCUUACCUUUAUAGACACAGAGAUAAAAUUUCACACAUCUUUCCUAUGAUAUGAAGGGAGGGAAGCAGAUAAUAACUCGUGUGAUAAAUUUUAUGCCACAACUGUCCAUGCUUUGUUAUAAUUGGAUUAAGCCGAUGAACAACAGAACAAAACAGUUUAAGUACA